GUUCCCUGUGAUGCCCUUUUUCAAUACCAUGCUAAUGCUGAUAUCAGAUGAUUAAGACAUUCAGUUUAUUUUACUGAGGGAGCC